rnacentral:rRNA from 1 species
GUGAGGAAUAUUGGUCAAUGGGCGAGAGCCUGAACCAGCCAAGUCGCGUGAAGGAAGAAGGAUCUAUGGUUCGUAAACUUCUUUUGCAGGGGAAUAAAGUGCAGGACGUGUCCUGUUUUGUAUGUACCCUGAGAAUAAGGAUCGGCUAACUCCGUGCCAGCAGCCGCGGUAAUACGGAGGAUCCGAGCGUUAUCCGGAUUUAUUGGGUUUAAAGGGUGCGUAGGUGGUUUGAUAAGUCAGCGGUGAAAGUUUGUAGCUUAACUGUAAAAAUGCCGUUGAAACUGUCGGACUUGAGUGUAAAUGAGGUAGGCGGAAUGCGUGGUGUAGCGGUGAAAUGCAUAGAUAUCACGCAGAACUCCGAUUGCGAAGGCAGCUUACUAAGCUACAACUGACACUGAAGCACGAAAGCGUGGGGAUCAAACAGGAUUAGAUACCCUUGUAGUCC